GUGAGGAAUUUUCCGCAAUGGGCGAAAGCCUGACGGAGCAAUGCCGCGUGAAGGAUGAAGGCCUAUGGGUUGUAAACUUCUUUUCUCAGAAAAGAAUUAUGACGGUAUCUGAGGAAUAAGCAUCGGCUAACUCUGUGCCAGCAGCCGCGGUAAGACAGAGGAUGCAAGCGUUAUCCGGAAUGAUUGGGCGUAAAGUGUCUGUAGGUUGUUUAAAAAGUAUUCUGUCAAAGAUUAGGGCUUAACCCUAGAUAGGCAGAAUAAACUUUUAAGCUAGAGUUUGGUAGAGGCAGAGGGAAUUCCCGGUGGAGCGGUGAAAUGCGUAGAUAUCGGGAGGAACACCAAAGGCGAAGGCACUCUGCUGGGCCAAUACUAACACUGAGAGACGAAAGCGAGGGGAGCAAAUGGGAUUAGAAACCCCAGUAGUCC
rnacentral:rRNA from 1 species